GCUACUGUGGCUCAGUGGCAGAGCACCACCUUGGUAAGGUGGGGGUCGCGAGUCCGAUUCUCGCCAGUAGCUCCA
rnacentral:tRNA from 1 species